rnacentral:rRNA from 1 species
GACGAACGCUGGCGGCGUGCCUAAUACAUGCAAGUCGAACGCAGUGGGGACGGGUGAGUAACACGUGGGUAACCUCCCAUCAGAGGGGAUAACACUUGGAAACAGGUGCUAAACCGAUAUUUAUGGAUGGUCCCGCGGUGCAUUAGCUAGUUGGUGAGGUAACGGCGCACCAAGGCCACGAUGCAUAGCGGACCGGGGAGGGUGAGCGGCCACACGGGAACUGAGACACGGCCAAGACUCCUACGGAAGGCGGCAGUAGGGAAUCUUCGGCAAUGGACGAAAGUCUGACCAAGCAAGCCCGGGUGAGGGAAAAAGGUUUUCGGAUCGUAAAACUCUGUUGUUAGAGAAGCGGUAUCUAACCAGAAAGCCACGGCUAACUACGUGCCAGCAGCCGCGGUAAUUC